UGAGAAGCCAAGAAUUGCAACAGUCCCGCUUGACAUCUGGUGAUGGCCCAGUUCUGAGGGGUAUAAAAGGAACAGUCCUCUGCUGGGGUUCCACAUAGCUCUUAUCCUCCUUCUGGGAUUCCUCUUCAGUCUCUGUCUGAUUGUCUUUUUCUGAACCAAAGAUGGUGGCUACCAAGCUAGAAGAGGACAUAGUUAAACUAAUAGAGAUCUUUCACAAAUACAGCAUAAAUAAGGAGGGCUGGGAUGAACUGAACUUGAAAGAAUUGACCCAGAUCAUUAAGAAUGAGUAUCCUGUUUUCAUUUUAACCUGUAGCUCAGGUGAUCCGGAUGGUUACAUUAAAAAGUAUUUUGAUGAGAAUAAGAAUGCAAACAAUGAAGUCAACUUUAAUGCUUAUAUGAAAAUCAUGGGCAAAAUAGCCAACAUCUACCACAAACGGAGCCAUCAUGAUGAGACCUGUGAUGAUAGGAAAUGAACACUACUGGAUCAUGGUGACGAGAUCCAUGGAUAGAAGGGAUAAGACUAGCCCAUCCUAAAACAAGGAGUUCCUGAGAAUUUGAAUCAAUAAAUCAUCUCCUUUACCUUAUAUU